ensembl:snRNA U6 U6 spliceosomal RNA
AUGCUUGCUUUGGCAGCACAUAUACUAAAAUUGGAAUGAUACAGAAAAGAUUAGUGUGGUCCUUGCUCAAGUAAACAUGCAAAUUCAUGAAGCAUUUCAUAUUUUA